CUUUGAAUUAACCUAUAUAAAGUAAAUAGAUGCAAAACAAUUCAUUAACAUUCCUUGAGUAAACAUGAUUUCAUCAAAUAAGGAUAAUGUGUUCUUGGAGACUGCUGAAUUUGCAUGUUUCUAAUGCUUUGAAUGAACAUGAUUAAGUUGUGUCUGGGGUGGCCUCCAGUCCUGAGGUGGCGCUAGUGCACCACUUUCUAAGACAAGAAGAAGCCGGAAAGUUUCUAAGCCAGAGAGCCGUUCCCCUCAUUCAGCUCGGUCCUACUCUUCAGUCUCAUCUCGCUGGAAUAGUGUUGUCAUGUGUGAAGAUCUACACGAAAUUGAGACUUCUGGCACAGUGGCCUGCACUGUUCGAAGUCUGUAAGAUCAGUGCUGAAUUCAAAAUAAUCACCACAGUUCCCCUGCAAUCCAAGCAACUGUUGCUGAAUUGGCUGAUUUGUACAAGAUGCACCAUUUCUGAGGACUUCUGGCACAGUGGCCUGCACUGUUCAAAGUUUGCAAGGUAAG